GACGAACCGUACGAACGUUAUUCGGAAUCUCUGGGCUUAAAGGGUGCGUAGGCUGCGCGGAAAGUUGGGUGUGAAAUCCCUCGGCUCAACCGAGGAACUGCGCCCAAAACUGCCGUGCUCGAGGGAGACAGAGGUGAGCGGAACUUCCGGUGGAGCGGUGAAAUGCGUAGAGACCCGGAGGAACACCAGUGGCGAAGGCGGCUUCCUGGUCUGCGACUGACGCUGUGGCGCGAAAGCUAGGGGAGCAAACGGG
rnacentral:rRNA from 1 species